CCUAGUAAUUUUAAAAUUCACUAAUGCUAAAAAGUUUGGGAUAUUGUAAAUUCUAUUUCAAGGAGGUUUUUCUUUAUUCCUCAGUCCUGCCUCUGGUUUCUCUAUUAAAUUUAACUUCCAAGUCUUGAAAACCACAUGUUAAUUUUUAUUAUCCUGUAGCACAAUUUCUAAUGAGAUGUAGGCAGAUAAUGGGAAAGAAACCACCAUGCUCUGUUCACCUUGUCUAACUGCUGUAUUAAUACUCGGAGAGGUAGAAGUUCCCAUCAAAUUUCCAGAGCAAAGUCUGAUGAUAAAACUAACAGUCAGGCAACAGCUUGUUUUAAUGUGGUCCACUGAAGUCGGUGGGGCUUUUGCCCCACACAGGGGGCCUGGAGCAGACUCAGCUUCAAAAUGUAGUGUUUAUCCCUCUCCCACCACGUCUGUAUUAGUGGAAGCUGUGGGCAUUAUCUCAAGCCUUUUGUCUUCAGAUUUUCCUUUGUUCUGGGAUGUCUCCGUUUAUCCCAUAUCUAGGGCAGCUGUUAGAGGUCAUCACCUGAUGAUUCCUCUCCAGGUUCGCCAGCGCGCCGCUGCCGUAACCGGAGCCCGCAUCUGCGGCGCGAUGUGGCGAGCCGGCCUCCGCAGCCCCGGCAGUACAAGCCGCUCAUUAUUGCCAAGUGGGAUCAGAGCACGUAGGUCUGUAGAGACACUGCGGUGCAUUGUAAGAGGCCUCUCUUCAGGGACAGGCAUGAAAGCCUCCUUUUUCCACCCUCAUUGAAAAAGAGCAGCUGUAUUCUUCUACCGCGGACAACGCCGAAGACUGCCUGUCUCUGCCACACAGAGGCUCUCUGGCUCAGCCGUGAAAGAGCGAACUUCAUUCUGGAGUCUGGACAGGAUUUCCCUGGGCAGGCUGAUGUUUUUGUGAGAGCUGUGCUUGCUCCUGUCCACAUAGCUCAGGAGAACUGCUGGGAAAGGUUUCUGAGUCUGUGUAUUGUUUGCUGACACCAAAGGUGUCUAACGAGCAUUUUGCAGCUCUAAGAGAGCUUUACAAUAGAAGACUGAGCAAAUACCUUUGACCUUAAAUGAUGACUAUAGCCAUUGCUUGUUAAAUAGGAGAGCUAGGUCACCUUCAAGUGCCAGCACUCCCUAAUUUUGUAGCUGUGGACCAGUCUAGUUUUCCCUCUUCAAAUCCUCACAAAGUGCAUGAUCAGUGAUAUAAAUAAACAGGCUUGCAAUGGUUAUUU